rnacentral:rRNA from 1 species
UAGGGAAUCUUCCGCAAUGGGCGAAAGCCUGACGGAGCAACGCCGCGUGAGUGAUGAAGGUCUUCGGAUCGUAAAACUCUGUUAUUAGGGAAGAACAAAUGUGUAAGUAACUAUGCACGUCUUGACGGUACCUAAUCAGAAAGCCACGGCUAACUACGUGCCAGCAGCCGCGGUAAUACGUAGGUGGCAAGUGUUAUCCGGAAUUAUUGGGCGAAAAGCGCGCGCAGGCGGUUUUUUAAGUCUGAUGUGAAAGCCCACGGCUCAACCGUGGAGGGUUAUUGGAAGCUGCACAACUUGCGUGCAGAAGAGAAAAGUGGAAUUCCAUGUGUAGCGGUGAAAUGCGCAGAGAUAUGGAGGAACACCAGUGGCGAAGGCGACUUUCUGGUCUGUAACUGACGCUGAUGUGCGAAAGCGUGGGGAUCAACCAGG